rnacentral:tRNA from 1 species
UCCCGCGUGUGCGGGCGAAGCACGGUGAUUGUCUGCAACGCGAGCAGUUGCACGCGUGGUUCGACGCCGUGCGCAGGAUC